CAAAGCGUUUGAUCACACUAAGAUCUGAAUUAUUUCCAGUAAUGCAUCACUUUGCUGACAACACAUAUAUUCAGCUUUUGUUUCCCUCUCUUCGCAUAAACAAUGAAAGCAAUACAGUGAGCCAAGAUUUUGAAAUGUAAUAAAUAUAAGAAAAAUUGUGCAUUUGAUAGUUACGUCUGUCACACUCGAGUGUGAAUGUUUAUCUAUAUGUGCCCUGUGAUUGAUUGACAUCCAGUCCGGACUCCAGAGUGUACCCCGCCAAUUGCUCAGUCAGCAGGGACAGAGUCCAGCUCACGUGCAACCCUAAUGAGGACUAGCGCUACAGAACAUUGAUGGAAGGAUUUUCUUAUUUUAAUGUAUUAUUAUUUUUGUUAUUACCACUACAACCUUGAACUGAAUCGCAAUAGAUGUACACAUGCACCUAAAAAAAAAAGUGAGUAAGUAGAUAUCGUACUUUCUAUUGAAAACUUACGUGAAUUAGUAUAUGUCGAAGUAUGAUGGUUGUUGAGCGAGGACAAACAUUAGAUAACAUCAACAUUCAUAUCCACUCCGUUGUCAUCCUUUUUUCAGCAGGCCAUUAGCAGAACCGAGCCGUUACUAUGAUGUGCAGGAUAAACAUCCCCUGGUUGCCUCUGACUGCAUUGUGGUUACUCUUCUUCUAACCAGAACUCAAUCUCAAGUUGACAGUGGUGGUGUCUUGCAUGGUCUCUAAUAUGGAGUGAGGAAGAUUAUGUGACAGAAGAGGGACCUUUGUGCACCUGUUGUCCACAGUAGUCAACAUCGGAGCCUGGUUACGCAUCACAUCUCAUCAAAUUCAAAAGCAAACCAACAUGGAACCUGUUCAACCUGAAAAACGUUAUGGUUUUAUUUUAUUCAAUAAGACUGCUAAGCGACAGGUUAGCAAAUAUGACACAAUAAAACAAAAGCGACCUCA